CCAGAGUGUUGUUUAGGCGCAAGCUCGUCUCAUAUGUCUUAAGACAAUCUGUCAAAAUUUUGCAGAAGUGUAGAGCCUGUUUACAAUCUUGCGACGUUUCUGCAAAGAGUAAAGUGAUAUCGUUUUGUCGUAGGUAUUUCAAGUGCUAAUUUAAUUAAUCGCGCAAUUGUUUCCGUGCUUCGUACGAUGCGUUCGGCCGGUGCGUCGGCCGAAUCGCGCGAGUUCUCGUGAUCUUCAGUUUCAGUGCAUGACAUAUUCGAGAUUUGCGUAACGGAGUCGUUAUGGGUGCAAAGGCGAGCACUGCGAACGGGGGGCAGAGUCCUCGCGCAAGGACAUUCUCGACUAGCUCCGGGUCGGACGUGGUGUCGGGCGCGGCAGGGUUUAGCUUGUUGCGAGCCAUCCCAGGAAUUCAAGUGUCGAAUGACCGGCAGCGCGCUCGGUCUCUGUCUUCAGUGCCGGACCUGCACGCUUCUCACGAAGCAAUAGCCAUACCCCCGAACUCGCAGAGCUAUGAGGCUUCUGCAGCUGCGAGCCCCGACACAGAUUCUAGUUCAAAUGAGGAAACUGGUGCCGGACCGGCGGCGUCGCUGGCUCUGGGCCGUGUUUACGCAGCGCACUCCUUGCCUUCACAUAUUUGGUCAAUAAAUGGUAUAAAAUGUCCGGUGUGCAGCAAGUUCGUUUUACCGGACGACAUAGAGUGCCAUCUCGUAAUGUGCCUGACGAGGCCACGUCUAUCUUAUAAUGAGGAUGUUCUGAGCGACUCGAAAGGCGAAUGUGUAAUAUGCCUCGAGGAGCUGUCCGCGGGCGACACUAUCGCCCGUCUGCCGUGCCUCUGCAUCUAUCAUAAAGGGUACGUUUCCUAUUGUUAAAACUCAAUUUAAAUUUGAAUGUAUGAAAGGAAUUGAUGUAGAAGUAACUUCGUGGUAGCUCAGAUAAUGCUGAUGCAUGUGAACCACGUCGAUUAAUUCACUAGUAAUCAAACAUUCUGUAUACUAGCGGCAAACGUAGGGGCGCUGUUCCAACUCCAUACAAAUUUGAGUUAACUUUUACGCUAUCGAGAACGUUAAAAAACUCGCACUAAGCACACUGUUCAAAAGCAGCUCUACAGGUGGCAGUCUCAAUUGUGUAGCAAUUUCGCCGCUAAGAUCGGAACGUGGGAUUACUUCGGGGCAGAAGUAGACAAGACGGUGGUACUAACCCGUGUAUCUAAAAACUAUUCAAUUUAUUGUGCUUAUUUGAUUCAGUCCCCUGUACCCAUACAAAAUUAUCAAUAAUUGAAAAUGUAAAAUGAAAAAAGGACAAGAUCCUUUUUAUUGCUUAUACAGUUGGAUUAGCUUAUCGUCCACUUGAUGUUAGUGCUUAAGCUUAAGACAAUAGCAAGGUAAAUUCCGCCACCCACUUUAAGACAUGAGUUCUUAGAAUAUCAGUUUUAACAGUACAACGGCUUCAAACCGAAACGCAUAACUGCUUCGCGGCACCAAUAUUAAAAUUUGAGCUGUUAUUUUGAUUAAAUAACUUAGAGGUAUGAUAGUUUUUUUACUAGCCGUGUAGGUAUAUAGUUCUUGACACUUCCACAAUAUAAGUUCUAAGGUCUCAAGUAUAGUUACAACGGCUGCCCCACCCUUCAAACCGAAACGCAUUACUGCUUCACGGCAGAAAUAGGCAGGGUGGUGGUACCCACCCGCGCGGACUCACAAGAGGUCCUACCACCAGUAAUAUGUCGUUCUCUCUUGAUUCCAGGUGCAUAGAUCAAUGGUUCGAAGUGAACAGGUCGUGUCCGGAGCACCCCGGCGACUAGUGCGCCGUCUAGUGCGCUCAAACAGACUGUGACGCCAGAGGGCAUUGUAAAUAUUAAUAAAAAAAACAAAAGAAAACUUAUGCUAGUGAGACGUUUACCAUUUAAUGAAUUUAAACAAUAACAAAAUAAUAUUAAUAAUAAUGAUAAUAAUAAAAAUUAUUAACAAAGACAAUUAUAGGAAACAAAAAUUAAUAUUAAAAAAAAUGAAAAAAAAAGUUGGGAAAUUCUCGGUGGAUUAUUUAUAAUUUAGUAAUAUUGUCGUUUUAGUUGAGUAACUCGUGCACUCCGUGCCGUGCGUGUGGUAGUGACGUCACCGGGUCGCGCGAAACGACCCGCUUCGGUUUACAUAUCUCUGCCUGUAAGCUUAUCGUUUAUAUAUUGUAUGAUUUCAUCUUUUUCAUCUUCAUAAAUAAAACUUUAUUUGUUUCUAAAUUUUA